GGCUUAUUGGCAAGGUGGUCAGUGCAAUUGACUCUUACUCAGGAGUUUGCGGUUCAAACCACCGCCCGGGCCC